rnacentral:rRNA from 1 species
GUUAGGAAUAUUGGACAAUGGGCGCAAGCCUGAUCCAGCCAUGCCGCGUGAGUGAUGAAGGCCUUAGGGUUGUAAAGCUCUUUCAGUGGGGACGAUAAUGACGGUACCCACAGAAGAAGCCCCGGCUAACUUCGUGCCAGCAGCCGCGGUAAUACGAAGGGGGCUAGCGUUGUUCGGAUUUACUGGGCGUAAAGCGCACGUAGGCGGAUCGUUAAGUCGGGGGCGAAAUCCUGGCGCUCAACUCCAGAACUGCCUUCGAUACUGGCGAUCUUGAGUCCGGAAGAGGUGAGUGGAACUCCUAGUGUAGAGGUGGAAUUCGUAGAUAUUAGGAAGAACACCAGUGGCGAAGGCGGCUCACUGGUCCGGUACUGACGCUGAGGUGCGAAAGCGUGGGGAGCAAACAGGAUUAGAAACCCCUGUAGUCC